rnacentral:rRNA from 1 species
UACGUAGGUCCCGACCGUUGCGCGAAUUUACUGGGCGUAAAGGGUCCGUAGGCGGUUUAGCCAGUGGUUGGUGAAAUUUCGCGGCUCAACCGUGAAACUGCCUUCCAAACUGCUAAACUUGAGGCAGGGAGAGGUCGGCGGAAUUCCCGGUGUAGCGGUGAAAUGCGUAGCUAUCGGGAGGAACGCCAGUGGCGAAGGCGGCCGACUGGAACUGUCCUGACGAUGAGGGACGAAAGCUAGGGGAGCAAACCGG